rnacentral:rRNA from 1 species
AUUGCCUUAGUAGCGGCGAGUGAAGCGGCAAAAGCUCAAAUUUGAAAUCUGGCACUUUCAGUGUCCGAGUUGUAAUUUGAAGAAGGUAUCUUUGGGUCUGGCUCUUGUCUAUGUUUCUUGGAACAGAACGUCACAGAGGGUGAGAAUCCCGUGCGAUGAGAUGUCCCAGACCUAUGUAAAGUUCCUUCGAAGAGUCGAGUUGUUUGGGAAUGCAGCUCUAAGUGGGUGGUAAAUUCCAUCUAAAGCUAAAUAUUGGCGAGAGACCGAUAGCGAACAAGUACAGUGAUGGAAAGAUGAAAAGAACUUUGAAAAGAGAGUGAAAAAGUACGUGAAAUUGUUGAAAGGGAAGGGCUUGAGAUCAGACUUGGUAUUUUGUAUGUUACUCUCUCGGGGGUGGCCUCUACAGUUUACCGGGCCAGCAUCAGUUUGAGCGGUAGGAUAAGUGCAAAGAAAUGUGGCACUGCUUCGGUAGUGUGUUAUAGUCUUUGUCGAUACUGCCAGCUUAGACUGAGGACUGCGGCUUCGGCCUAGGAUGUUGGCAUAAUGAUCUUAAGUCGCCCGUCUUGAAACACGGACC